CACGUAGGGCGCAAGCGUUGUCCGGAAUUAUUGGGCGUAAAGAGCUCGUAGGCGGUCUGUUACGUCUGCUGUGAAAACCCUGGGCUUAACCCUGGGCUUGCAGUGGAUACGGGCAGACUAGAGGCAGGUAGGGGAGAAUGGAAUUCCCGGUGUAGCGGUGAAAUGCGCAGAUAUCAGGAGGAACACCAGUGGCGAAGGCGGUGCUCUGGGCCGGAACUGACGCUGAGGAGCGAAAGCGUGGGGAGCAAACAGG
rnacentral:rRNA from 1 species